GCAGUUGACAGUACAUAAUUUUAAAAUCUGUAUUUAGGUGAGAAAGCUAUUAAGGUGAAUGAUAUACAGAAUUUAUAGGUUAAGCAUGAACAGUUUAUGUUUGGGCAUAGUAACCUUUUUUUUCCUUUAAAGCUGCUCUUUUGAAUAAAUCAAAGGGAAUAGCCAUGUCUGCUAUUCCAAUAUAAAACAGUUUUGAAGCAUCUUGGAAAUGGUUAGACUUUUGUAUCAUCUUAGAAAUGGGGUCUACCCAGAACUACAACUUAAUAACCACUACAUUAAUAAAGUGCUAAACUGGGUGGGUGCCCACUGAAAUUUCUGAGGAAUUCCUGAAGGCACUGAAUAUGGCAGGUCUGUUAAGAGCACAUGGUGCUUUGACCUGGUAGUCCCGUGACCAUUUCAGAGUGCUUUUGAGGUCAAACCUUGUCAUAAUAACAGCCUUCUCAAAGAGACAGUUUAUUUUCCAAAUAACUACAUGACUGGAACAUAAUGGAAUGAAUAGAAUAUGGAAGGACAUGAUAACCUAACUAACUUAUUAAAAAGAUCUGUGUUGGUUUUUAUUUCUAAUGUUACUAUUGGUAAUCCUUAGAGCAAAACCAUUGAGCAUCUUUUAGAGUCCCACCCUGCCCCAGGUAGUAUUUUGUCCUGCCUUGACUUCCAGAUUUGGACUCUUUUUUUUGUAACUUUGUGUUCUUACCAUGAUUGUGUUUCCUCUAUCUUCUUUAACACGUGGAAUGUAUUAUAAUAGCAGUUUUAAUGUCCUUGGAGGCUAAUUUAAUGCCAGGUUACAGUUCUUUCUCUGUCCCAUUGAUUGACUAAUCUCCUGGUCAUCUUUCAUGUUUUUCUUCUUUUCAUACUUGGUCAUUUUUGAUAGUGUGCUACAUACUGUGAAAUUUAUAUUGUUGGCUGCUCGAUUUUCUAAUUUUUGUUUACAUACUCUUGGGGCAUUUUGGGGAGUAUAGGAAAUGUCUUGGGAUCAUUUCAGUACUUUCAGUGCUUACUUGUAAUUUAAGUAAACAAACCAGAUUCAGUCUUAACUUGGAGUAGAAUUCACACUUCUUUUAUGCUAAAAGAAAAGGGGAAGUAGGAGGGUUCAAGAUUAAAGGCAGACUGCAGACUCCUUGGAGCUACCUGGUCUUCAGGGAAACCAUGAUAUUUCCUUGUUUUUCUGCUUGCUCCUGUGGGCUGGAUCACAAGACUCCUAUAAAACUUCAACUUGCUAGCAGUUAUUUUUACUUUAUCAUCCUUAUCUCUGCUUACUUGCAAGGUGUCUUGGCUGAAAGGGAACUUAUCUACAGCCAGUAGUAGCCAUAACUGACCUAGAAUUGUGGGAUGGAAACUUUCUUCAGGGAAUUUUUUUUUUUUUUUUUUUUGUCUUUUUGCUAUUUCUUUGGGCCGCUCCCGUGGCAUAUGGAGGUUCCCAGGCUAGGGGUCGAAUUGGAGCUGUAGCCACCGGCCUAAGCCACAGCCACAGCAACGCGGGAUCCGAGCUGCGUCUGCAACCUACACCACAGCCCACGGCAAUGCCGGAUCGUUAACCCACUGAUCAAGGGUAGGGACCGAACCUGCAACCUCAUCGUUCCUAGUCGGAUUCAUUAACCACUGCACCACGACGGGAACUCCCUCUUCAGGGAAUUUAAUGAGCUAUUUGGGUGCAAGCAACAUUUCUCUAAUGUUUAACUCUUGACUACAGGACUAAAAUAAUAGAAUGCAUAGGCUGAAAAAUAGGGAAGGUAGUUUUAACAUGGGACUAGUUCUGUCUUCCUCUGUUACAUUGCCAGAUUCCAAAGGGCAAAUUGUGACCCAUUUGUCAGGCAAUUCAGUGCAAAUAACUUUAUUUUUAAUGCAAUAGAGUAAAGAAAAAAGAGACAAUAUCCCAAUAUAUUAUUCCUAAAGAAUAUUGCUUCUAAAGUUUUUAUUUCUUGUGUGUGUGCACGCAUUUGUGUCAGUUUCAGGGGUAAAUAUACUGAGCAUGAUAUAAAAUGUACUUCUCACUGUGCAUCACAUUCAAAAAUGUUUGAAAGCUCAUGUUCUAUUUGGUAGCUUGAAGGGAUAAUUUUUUAGAUAAAAUUAUCUGCCUGGGAGUUCCUCUUGUGGCUCAGCAGUAACAAACCUGACUAGUAACCAUGAGGUUGCAGGUUUGAUCCCUGGCCCUGAUCAGUGGGUUAAGGAUCCAGCAUUGUCGUAAGCUGCGGUGUAGGUCACAGACUCAGCUCAGAUCCAGCAUUGCUGUGGCUGUGGUGUAAGCCAGCUGCUGCAGUUCCAAGUUGACAGCUAGUCUGGGAACUUCUGUAUGCUGCAAGUGUGGCCCUAAUAAGAAAAAAAAUUAUCUGCCUGAAGAAUCUAGAAUAUCUGGUUGAAGCCUACAGAAACCCAACACCUCUGCCACUCCUCAACCAGUAUAUUGGAUAGCUUCUCAGCUUCUUAGGUAAAAAUUACCUUGUUUUUCAUUUCAAAUGAUCAUGACUCAUAAAAUCACUGACUUCUCAUUUCCCUGGAAGCCAGCUCAUUUUUUAUUAUUUCUGGUAAAAGGAGGCAUGUCUACAUGUUGAAAUCCGCGGUGACCUAAACACUUCCUUUCAGGUGAUUUCCUACAUCCUUCUCAAAAACUGAGGUUGAGCAGAAACACUAAAUGAUCAUAUUCUCUAUCCUAAUCACUUCCCUUUGUGCCACCUCCUCUCUUUUGUGGGGAGAUGCAUGAAGAGCAGGGCGGUUUCCCCAACUCAGGUCUGUGACACCCCCACGAAGCCAAGCAAUGGGUGUCAUUUCUGUUAACUCCACCUCACUUCAGACUCUGCCCCUCCUUUUGUAAGUCACUAUUCUAUCAAGCCCAGGGUUGAACUUGGCCUUGAAGCAGUCUGGGUUUGGCCAAUGGUCUGAGGAGGGAAGCAGCAGUGGUUGCUAAUGCUGGGGUCACUGUGUUCAGCCUCUGACUGUGUGGUUUCAUGAAUGGCACCCUGGACUGUAUGGCCAAGCUUCCAGCAGGGUCAAGCCCUUACCCCAAGAUCAAAUAUGCCCCAGUGUCAUUGAACACUAACUUGUGAGGGAGGUCUGGUCAAGGUUCUCAAGCUUAUACAAGAUAGCCUUGAGAAAAGAAACUGCAUGGGAACAUCCUACCCACAUCACCAGAAGAGCUGUGUGUGUGUGUGUGUGUAUGUGUGUGUGUGUGUGUGUGUGUGUGUGUGUGUGUGUGUGUGUGAGAGAGAGAGAGAGAGAGAGAGAGAGAGGGAGAGAAAAUGAUGGCGUUCCCAUUGUGACUCACCAGGUUAAGGACCCAUGUUGUCUCUGUGAGGAUGCGAGUUGGCCUCGCUCAAUGGGUUAAGGAUCUGGCAUUGCUGCAACCUGUGGCAUAGAUUGAAACUACGGCUUUGAUCUGAUCUUUGGUCUGGGAAUUCCAUAUUCCAUAUGCCAUAGAGCAGCCAAAAAAAAAAAAAUGGGGAAUGAGGAAAAAUUUUGUUAAUGUAAUUCCCCCUUGGAGACAUUCCUAAUGGCUGUUAUUAGAGCUGAUAUUCAUCUCUCCACCAAAGAGGUUUGAACAAGGCUCAAAUUUCACUGUUAUUAGGACAGAUUCUGGCUUAAGAAACUGAGACCUAUGAGUUAUCAAAGAGAACUGGUUUCUGAGUUUUGAGCACCUGAAAGUACUGAAAGCUGUUUUUAUCCUUAACUAUAUUAGGAAGUUGGGGGACUUGGGGUCAGAGAUGUCCUGCUUCAUAUUUUUGUCAUCUCAAGACACUGCCCCACACCAAGCUGACCAUUGGGCAUUCCCUACUUGGGGCCUGAUAUGAGGCCCAGAAGAGAAAUUUGACUUUUACUAGAUGGUCAAAUAGUCCACCAAACAAAAGUAAUCCACCAAUACUUUAAAAAUAUGUACCCCAAGAGUUCCCUUUGAGGCUCAGUGGGUUAAGGACCUGACAGUCUCCGUGAGGAUAUGGAUUUGAUCCCUGGCCUUGUUCAGGGGGCUAAGGAUCAGUCAUUGCUGCAAGCUGUGGCAUAGGUUACUCCAAGUUGCUGCAGUUGUGGCAUAGGCAGCAGCUAUAGCUCUGAUUCAACCCCUAGCCUGGGAACUUCCAUAU
rnacentral:lncRNA from 1 species